UUUGAUGCCUAUUAUACAUAAAUCUGCACCACAUGUGGCAUUAUUCUCUGCUCGAGGGAAGAAUAUAAAGGACUUCAGCUUCCAAGAGGCGGAUCUUCUCAAACCAGAUAUAUUAGCCCCUGGUUCUUUGAUUUGGGCUGCUUGGUGUCCAAAUGGAACUGAUGAGCCAAAUUAUGUCGAUUGAAGGUAUAGUAAGUUUUCAAGUGGGAGUGAUUAUUGGUUGAUCCCUUCCCCAAGUUUGUAUAAUCCAAUUGAUUAUGUGCCACAGUCAAUUGAAUAUGCCCUUCAAAAGGCUGGUCUCCCUGCAUCUAGCAUUGACUGGUUACUUCUCCAUCAGGCAAACCAGAGGAUUUUUUAUGCAGUUGCCACACGGUUAGAAGUGCCAUCAGAAAGGAAGAUAUCAAAUUUGGCUAAUUAUGGAAACACAAGUGCAGCUUCAAUUCCCUUAGCUUUAGAUGAAGCAGUUCCCUCAAAUUUCACGGCAAUAUUGCAGCACUGCACUCCCCUUAACUUGUCCUUUUCUUUUUCUUUUUGUCUUCAAUUCACAUUCUCUUUUGUCUUCUUUUCUCAAGUAUCCGAGAUAUAUGUAUUUGUCAUUCAGAUUUAUUUUGAACGAGGCUUAUUAUUUAUGUUUAUCAAUGGUACUUGUAAAUAAAAUUGUAGCAUUGAAGUGUCUGCUUGCUUAUACUCAUACUUGUCCGCACCAAACAACCACUUCAUUUAAA